AUGAACGCUGGCGGCGUGCCUAAUACAUGCAAGUCGAGCGAACAGACGAGGAGCUUGCUCCUCUGACGUUAGCGGCGGACGGGUGAGUAACACGUGGAUAACCUACCUAUAAGACUGGGAUAACUUCGGGAACCGGAGCUAAUACCGGAUAAUAUAUUGAACCGCAUGGUUCAAUAGUGAAAGACGGCUUUGCUGUCACUUAUAGAUGGAUCCGCGCCGCAUUAGCUAGUUGGUAAGGUAACGGCUUACCAAGGCAACGAUGCGUAGCCGACCUGAGAGGGUGAUCGGCCACACUGGAACUGAGACACGGUCCAGACUCCUACGGGAGGCAGCAGUAGGGAAUCUUCCGCAAUGGGCGAAAGCCUGACGGAGCAACGCCGCGUGAGUGAUGAAGGUCUUCGGAUCGUAAAACUCUGUUAUUAGGGAAGAACAAAUGUGUAAGUAACUAUGCACGUCUUGACGGUACCUAAUCAGAAAGCCACGGCUAACUACGUG
rnacentral:rRNA from 1 species